ensembl:snRNA U6 U6 spliceosomal RNA
GUGCUCACUUUGGUAGCACAUAUACUAAAAUUGGAGUGAUACAGAGAAGAGUAGCAUGGCUCUUGUGCAAGGGUGAUGUGCAAAUUUGUAAAGUGUUCCAUAUUUUG